GGGAAUAUUGGACAAUGGGCGAAAGCCUGAUGCAGCCAUGCCGCGUGUAUGAAGAAGGACUUCGGGUUGUAAAGUACUUUCAGCGGGGAGGAAGGCGAUAAGGUUAAUAACCUUGUCGAUUGACGUUACCCGCAGAAGAAGCACCGGCUAACUCCGUGCCAGCAGCCGCGGUAAUACGGAGGGUGCAAGCGUUAAUCGGAAUUACUGGGCGUAAAGCGCACGCAGGCGGUUUGUUAAGUCAGAUGUGAAAUCCCCGGGCUCAACCUGGGAACUGCAUCUGAUACUGGCAAGCUUGAGUCUCGUAGAGGGGGGUAGAAUCCCAGGUGUAGCGGUGAAAUGCGUAGAGAUCUGGAGGAAUACCGGUGGCGAAGGCGGCCCCCUGGACGAAGACUGACGCUCAGGUGCGAAAGCGUGGGGAGC
rnacentral:rRNA from 1 species